rnacentral:rRNA from 1 species
AGUUUUGAGCUAAAUAUAUUAUAAUAUUAGUUAUUUAUAAAGGUGUUGUAAAACCUUAUUAAAAAUUAUAUUUAGGGGUGAUAGGCCUUUCAAAAACUAAGAUAUCUUGAAUCUAAUUAAAAGUAUGUAGUACAUUCGACACAACUAUUAAGUGAUUAGGCUUUAUAGAAUUAUUAACUUAUAAAGAUUUUAUUUACUAUAAUUUAAUAAUUAAGUAUGUAAAUAUAUUAAUAUAUAUAUAUUAUAAUUUAUAAAAAGUAAUUAGAUAAAUUAAAGUUCAUAAAUUUUGUAAUAAUGUUAAUAUUAGUAUUAAGUUUAUAUUUAUAUGAUGAACUCGGCAAAAAUGCUUCUCAACUGUUUAUCAAAAACAUAACUAUGUGAAUUAAUACAUAGCGGUUUCUGCUCAA